rnacentral:rRNA from 1 species
CCGUCAAUUCCUUUGAGUUUUAGUCUUGCGACCGUACUUCCCAGGCGGAGUACUUAAUGCGUUAGCUGCGGCACUGCAGGGGUCAAUACCCGCAACACCUAGUACUCAUCGUUUACGGCGUGGACUACCAGGGUAUCUAAUCCUGUUUGCUCCCCACGCUUUUGCGUCUCAGCGUCAAUAUCGGUCCAGGUAGCCGCCUUCGCCACCGGUGUUCCUCCUAAUAUCUACGGAUUUCACUCCUACACUAGGAAUUCCACUACCCUCUCCCGUAUUCAAGUCUGACAGUUUCCAAUGCACUUCCCAGGUUGAGCCCGGGGCUUUCACAACAGACUUACCAAACCGCCUACACGCGCUUUACGCCCAAUAAUUCCGAACAACGCUCGCACCCUCCGUAUUACCGCGGCUGCUGGCACGGGAGUUAGCCGGUGCUUCCUUUGAGGGUACCGUCAAAGCAAAGAUGAUAUUAGCACCCCUGCAUUUUCUUCCCCUCUGACAGAGCUUUACGACCCGAAGGCCUUCAUCACUCACGCGGCGUUGCUGCGUCAGGGUUUCCCCCCAUUGCGCAAAAUUCCCCACUGCUGCCUCCC